ensembl:lncRNA
AGUUCAAAAGAUCUAAAAUUGUUCUGAUUCGAGCACAAAUUCAGAGACUUGCUAAUGUGUACCGAUCACUGAAGACAAAAGGGAGGGGAAAGAUCAGAGACUGAAAGCGCUGUCGACUGGAUACUUCUAAUCACGUUGGAGUUCUGCAGUCUCCAUAGCAACGGCACAGACUGGAGUGUAUAAUGAUGGGUGUGAUACACUGGUCAUUCACAAGGGGCUGCUGUAUCCUCGCCAAACGCUCGCAGAAGCCCGCCAGCUCCAUUCUCCCGCAGGAUGGACCUCCCGCCUCGUCUUAAGAAAGAGCAGUGAGGAAGGAGACAGAAGUGGACGAAGCUUUAUAGGAGUUUAUUCUCCGGAGGCCGGAUUGCCUGUGUGGACCCCAGCUUGCCAAACAUAGGGGCGCGUGGACUGUUCCCUGCUCCUCCACACUUCUGGGAGGAGGUGCCUUCAAAAAACAUCCCCCUCGUCCAGCCUCCGGGCCCUGAUUUCCCCCUGGCUAGACAGCCCCAGCGCACCACUUGCCUUUUCUGUGUCAGUAUUCUGUCUCUUUACCGAAAGAAGAUGGACUCCUGUGUUGAUGUGCUGUUUCUGCUGCUAAAUGAUGCCACACUGGAGGGAUUGUUCCAGGAUCCUGCCGAGAUACUGUCUGCCAGAGAGAGAACCGCUUAUACUGGAGCUGAAGGGGUUUUCCUUUGUCCUCCAGGCCUGGCUCUACCUUUUUUCCAUUGCAUGGUCCAGCACACAGAAAUCCCCAGAGGCAUUUCCAAAAGGAUAUAGUCUCAUGGCUCAUAUCCCAGAGUUCACUGGGAAGACAUGUGGUGUUUUGUGAAAGCUUCACGCACAGACACUAAACAAACAGGUCCUGAUGAAAUGGAUCUUCAAAAGGCUAUACUAUUAAACUGGACUGUUUUUAAAUGAACGCUAUUGUUUUCUUGGCGCUUACGAAUUUGAAUAUAAAUUAAUUUAAUAUUUCGUGCGCGUGUGUAUGUUGUGUGUUACAAACAUGAAUGCUUUCUCAAAUCAAGCAGCUUUUUUUUUUAAAUCAAGAAAAGUUUUUAAUUGAUUACACUUUGGCCUGCUUCGUGCCUUAAAGAAGUAAAAAAAUUUUUGAUGUUUUGACUAACAUACUAAAGCUUGUGUAAACUACUUGAUUAUAAUUUUAACUGCAGUGUGUUAUUCAAGAUAACAUUUAAUAUAUCUUAAAUUGCCUUAUUAUAGUUUCAUCAUUACAAAUGUGUAAUUGCAAAUGCGAAAUACAGGUUAAUAGAAAUCAAUUAAAAUAUAUUUUAGUUUAUCAUAAAUCUUGUUAGUUCAUUCAGCAGUACACUUUAACCAUUUC